GCUAUCCCAUGUGCUCCUACAAUGUAACCUCAUCUCUCUUCCUCAAGGGCUGCAAUCUAAUUCUCCUCCACUUGAAUUUGGAUGGACCUGCAACUGCUUCAACCUGUAGACCACUGUGAAAGUGAUAAGGAGUAACUUCCUAGACUGAGGAAGUCUAGGAAAAGACAAAGUCGCUUCUACUUUUUUCAUUAGAUUGCUCAUACUUGGAUCCCUGAGCUGUUCUGUAAGAGGUCCAACUUCCCUGAGGUCGCCAUGUUGUGAGGAAGCUAAGCCAUGUUGAGAGGCCACGUGUAGCCACUCUGGUGGGCAUCGGUGGCAGAAGGACUCUAAGAUGCCCUCCUCCUUACCCUCAUCUCCUGGUAUUCACACCUUUGCAUAAUCCUCUCCUCUUAGUGAGGGUGAGACCGUAACUUGCUUCUAAUCAGUGGAAUACUGUGAAGGCAACCAGGAACCUACCUCAGUCCAGCAACCCAAAAGGAACUGAAUUCUGCCAACAACUAUGUAAGUGAGCUUAGAAGCAUAUUCUUCUCCAGUUGAGCCUUUGAUGAAACACUAGCCCUUGAUUGUAACCUCAUGAGCAGAGUCCUGCCCAUCCAAAAAAGUCCUGCCGAUCCCCCAUUAUGUGGGAUAAUAAA